rnacentral:rRNA from 1 species
GACGUAGGGCGCGAGCGUUGUCCGGAUUUAUUGGGCGUAAAGAGCUCGUAGGCGGCUUGUCGCGUCGUCCGUGAAAACUUGGGGCUCAACCCCAAGCUUGCGGUCGAUACGGGCAGGCUAGAGUUCGGUAGGGGAGACUGGAAUUCCUGGUGUAGCGGUGAAAUGCGCAGAUAUCAGGAGGAACACCGGUGGCGAAGGCGGGUCUCUGGGCCGAUACUGACGCUGAGGAGCGAAAGCGUGGGGAGCGAUCCGG